rnacentral:pre_miRNA from 1 species
GCGUGUAAAACUUAGUUGGCCACGCGUAUUCUUGGGUUAUUAACACACAAUUAAUGUUGUUAUUGCUUGAGAAUACACGUAGUUGACGGUUAAUUGAAAA